rnacentral:rRNA from 1 species
UGCAGCGGGAUCAUUA